GAUGAAGAACGUAGCGAAAUGCGAUAAGUAAUGUGAAUUGCAGAAUUCAGUGAAUCAUCGAAUCUUUGAACGCACAUUGCGCCCGCUAGUAUUCUGGCGGGCAUGCCUGUCCGAGCGUCAUUUCAACCCUCAAGCCCCCGGGCUUGGUGUUGGGGAUCGGCGAGCCUCCGCGCCCGCCGUCCCCUAAAUCUAGUGGCGGUCUCGCUGUAGCUUCCUCUGCGUAGUAACACACCUCGCACUGGGAAACAGCGCGGCCACGCCGUUAAACCCCCAACUUCUGAACGUUUGACCUCGGAUCAGGUAGGAAUACCCGCUGAACUUAAGCAUAUCAAUAAGCGGAGGA
rnacentral:misc_RNA from 1 species